rnacentral:tRNA from 1 species
UCCCUGGCAGUCCAGACGUUAAGACUCCACGCUUCAAAUGUAGAGGGUACAGGUUCAAUCCCUGGUCAGGGAA